CCUACGGGAGGCAGCAGUGAGGAAUAUUGCUCAAUGCACGAGAGUCUGACCCAGCCACGUAGCGUGAAGGAUGACUGCCCUAUGGGUUUUAAACUUCUUUUAUAAAGAAGUAAAACGAGGCACGUGUGCCUUUUUGCAUGUACUUUAUGAAUAAGGAUCGGCUAACUCCGUGCCAGCAGCCGCGGUAAUACGGAGGAUCCGAGCGUUGUCCGGAUUUGUUGGGUUUAAAGGGAGCGUAGAUGGGUUGUUAAGUCAGUUGUGAAAGUUUGCGGCUCAACCGUAAAAUUGCAAUUGAUACUGGCAGUCUUGAGUACAGUUGAGGUAGGCGGAAUUCGUGGUGUAGCGGUGAAAUGCGUAGAUAUCACGAAGAACCCCGAUUGCGAAGGCAGCUUACUAAACUGUGACUGACAUUGAUGCGCGAAAGUGUGGGUAGCAAACAGGAUUAGAUACCCCAGUAGUC
rnacentral:rRNA from 1 species